rnacentral:lncRNA from 1 species
GUCCUCUCCCAGCGUCUACUCCCCAUCUCGGGGGACCCAGGGGAGCCAGUGGGGACCGGAUCCGGCGGGUGGAGCGGCCAGGUGAGCCCUGAAAGGUGGGGCGGGGCGGGGGCGCUCUGGGCCCCACCCCGGGAUCCGGUGACGCUGGGGCUGGAAUUUGACACCGGACGGCGGCGGGCAGGAGGCUGCUGAGGGAUGGAGUUGGGCUCGGCCCCCAGACACGGCCCGCGGGCUCCGCCAGCAGCAAGUCCCUCGGGUCCCAGCCCUGGCUGUGACUGGGGUUGGGAACCCGGCACCCGAGGUAAGCCAAACCGCUUGCCGGUACCCUGGUCCCAGUCCUGGAUGGACGCUCCAGGGGCUGGGGGCAGAGGCAAGACAGCCUUCACUUUUCUGGCAUCCUCCCUCUCCUGGGCCCUCAGAGCAGCCCUCUGCUUCUCCCAGCCCCUCCAGUCCCUCUUGUCCCUUGUUAAACUGAGCUAGUCCUGCUGUAAUGUGAGGCUCCCGCUGCCGCUACAGGGCACAGACUGGCUGCCAAGGCCGCACUUUUGGCUAAAAGAAGUGCUGCCAGGUGCACAGCUCUGGGUAUGAGCCAUUUGAUCUUCGGGGGCAAGUCCAGCACUGGACCCAAGAAAGGUGCCUAGAAGAAAACGGUGCAGGACCCCCACCCAUGGUGAGUAGUGGGAUGAUGGAAGCGGGUGGCAAGGGCUCAGGAUCAAGUGACCCAAGAGAGAGAGAGGGGACUUGAGCUGCCAUCAAGCAAGGGUCCUGCUCCUGAGCUCCCCCUAGUGCAGAGGCCCCUAAGCUUUUUGCUCCAUGGUGAUAACAAUCAGUGGCCUGGUCUUGAGGACUCUGAAUUCAGUUAGCCAAUAAGCCAACGCCUGGCCCUGUAGGAAGGCCUGAGGAGAUCUGUUCCACAGAUGUGUAGGCAUUCUGAGUCCUAGGGAGAGGUAAGUGACAGCCCGAUCCAAGAGGAGGCUGGCUAAUGAGGGCCCAUGAAAGUUCUGGGUUCCCAGAGAGGCAUUUGAGAGUGCUAGUCAGUGGGGGCUUAGGAAGGCUAGCUGGGACCAGGAAGGAUGAUGGCUCACGGGGGAAACUUCUAGGAGCAAGGCCAGGCUACCAGAUCCACAAGAGGAGACAGACGUGGGCAAGCUCUCAGGGUGGCUCAGGUCUGAGAUCAGGCUGCUAUGAAGGCCAGCCUAGCCUGGUCCUCCUAGGAGUGACUCAGACCUAAGUGCAGAAAGAAUAUAUAAAAGCCUACCUCCCCUUCAAGUCUGCAGACUUGGCAGACUCUGCCCCCUGGUGGCCAUAGGAAGCCAUGGCCCAAGCCCUGUGUUUUCAGAGGGCCCAUCAGCCUCCACCUUCUGCUGGUAAGGGACAUCUGUGGACAGAAAAGAAAACGCAUGUCUCUGGGUCCAGAACACAUAUUACAGAGGAACAAGGUGCAGUGGUGCUGGUCCUGGUGGGCAGCACAGGCCUCACUGGGCCUCACUGUCAUCAUAUAACUCUUGAGUGACCAGCAGCCACUCUAAUUCUUCUCCAGGUCUCAGAUUCCUCCCCUGUGGCAUGGGUGAAAGCUGUCUGUGGGACCAGGGAUGGCCAGCUACUGCUAUCUUCUCCAGUCAGUCUUGGCAGCUCCAGCCCCACAACACAGAACAGGAAAGUUGGGAAAACAGGACCCCUCUCCCAGCGGUUGUCUGGGUCUACCCUUAUGACCUUAGGUAAUCUCUGAGUUUCUCUGAGCCUUGUUUGCUCAUCUGGAAAAAGGGAAUUAAAUCAUUUAUUUACCUCAUGGAGUUGUGAAAGAGGAAAUAGUUGCAAAGCAUCUAACACAUAGUAAGGUUCUCAAUGCAGCUACUUUUCCUGGAUUGAGUCCAGCUACCCAAGUCCCCUGUAGCUUGGAGAAACUCAGGUGGAAGGAUGACCUCCUUAAAAGAUAACUCAUCUCUCAAUAUGCAAGCUGCCUCACAAAAAGGGUGGGGGAACAGGUCAUCAAAGGCUGAUGGGAGCUCCUGGUGUUGAUAGA